rnacentral:lncRNA from 1 species
AACUUAGUCCCUCAACUAUGCACUAUUCUUUCCGGGCAGCUUGAAAUCUGAUAACUUUCGUUGGAGCCCUUCUGAAUGUCCGUUUGAGCUCAAAUUUGACAGACAGGCUCGGUUUAAUAUACUGAGUAAGAAUAUAUCUUAAGUUUCCAGUUUCGACCCCGUUUGGUCACCGAAAACUAUGCCGAACUGUAAUCUUUAGCAGAUAACUUGUCGGAUUUUAUUUUUCACCUUCCGGGUGUCAGAAAAAUAUGAAACUUUAAAUCUAGCCUCGUAAAAAUAUUUCUGACUUAUUCUCCAAUUUUCAUAAUUUUCUGAGACUGUGCAUUUUCCGCUAACUUAUCUGUCUGUUUCCAACAAAAAAUUCUAAAUCUUCUGUUUCCAAUCCGAUUCAGCACAUGUCAUUUAUGACUUAUGUUUUACUUCUCUAAUUCCAAUAUAAAUAGUAUCUCACACUAUUUUUAUUUAUUUUUAUUUUUAUACCAAAAUCUGGUAUGUGACACCUAUUCAUCAUCCUUUUCAAUUCAUCGAUUUCUUCAUCAUACGAGACCAUUCUAACGUGAGAUUCAUUAAACAUAACAUGCAUACUUUCUUCUACUACUAAAGUACGCCAAUUAUAAAUACGAUAUACUUUACUGGUAAUUGAGUAUCCUAAAAAUAAACCUUCAUCUUAGUAUUUAAAAUAAAAUACUUACAACCAAAAAUGCAAAAAUAUGAAAUUUUGGAGGGCUUUUCAUUCCAAAACUCAUAUGGAGUUUUGUCCAAAAUAGGUCGAAUAGAAAGACGAUUUAAAAUAUAAUAGGCCGUAUUCAUUACAACAGAAUUAGGUUAUAGGGACACAUGUUUGGGACACUUUUGUCUAAGUCUCCCAUUUAUGUCAAAAUUUAAAAAAACAUCUACUAAUAUCUAAAUAUAAAGCCGAAUCCAACAAAAAAUAAAAUGUUACUAUAUUCAACCCACCCAACCCAGCCCAUUUGGCUCGAUUCCAAAUAGAAAAGAAAAAAAAAAAAAGAAAAAUCGAUUACCAUCUCCCAUUCUCCCCUAACUCAAUCCACUGAAAUUCUAAACGAAGAGCCCUUCCCUCCCGUCCUCCUUCGCCACCGCAGCCAACGAGAUAGAGUUCAGGCGGUUACUAGAUGCUUAAAUAAGUGUUGCUAAAUUAACAGCACUUUUUUAGGUUAUAGCAACACUCUUUAACUGUCAUUAUAUACCUAGCGACCCCACAUAUAGCAACACUUUUUAAAAGUGUCGGUAAUUUAGCAAGCAGCACUUUUUUUGACCUAUACCGACAUUUAAAAGUGUCGCUAUAGACCGUUUUUGUUGUAGUGAUUGACAAUUCUACCCAAAAAUAAAUGGGUAAAUCAUUUUUGGGAAGU